UUGUUUUGAUCUGAAACCACCGUUUUUCUCUUGCGCUUCAUCGCACCACCGUUUCAAAACCUAAAGAAUCGUUGCAGCUUUCGCAAAACAUCUAAAUUUCAUUCUCGUUUUCUGACCAAAACCAUUUUUAUGUGAAUCACUUUUUCUCAUAAGCGCUUAAUCUCACUCGUUCUAGUUCUCUGAUUCGCAAUACAUCUAUCUGAUCUUCCCUAAUCGUUGUAUUUUCUCCGAUCUAUAUCAUCACUCUCCAUUUUGCUUAUUCUAAAGAAUUAACAGUGCCUAACUCUAUCACUAGUUUGUAAUUGGUUUUUAGGGUUCCUGUUUCAACGAUGUCUCGCGAGGCAAACUCCAUGAUAGCAAGUGAAGAAUCAUUGUCGAUGAAGAAUUUGAGAGAAUAUUUGACUUGAAGAUUGCAAGUGAGAGAAUCUCGAGAGUUUUUUGACAAUUCAAAAGUAAUCUCACAAUCAUUGGUGGAGAGGUUUGUAUUGUCCUCUAGAGCUGGUGUAGUGAAAAUACCAAGAUUUUUCUUUAUGGUUCUCUAGAACUGUCUAAUUAUUGAUUUGUACAUAGGAAGUUCCUAUGAUAGACUUAGGAAGUAUUAAAGACUUAGGACAUUGUAUAGGGUUGGUAACUUAAAAGAGUUAUUGAUAGUGGCCGCUAUCGGCACUAUUCUGGGAUAUCGGUCCGGAGCGGUGACCCUCUGCUAUUUGAUGUUCAGCGGCCACUAUUUGAUGGUUUCAUCCUAGUAAAAGGAAGAUCUAAUAAUUCAGUGGUGGACUAUCAAACACCAGCCCUUUAUAUUCUGUUGCAAGUCAAGAGCACUUGGAUUUGGUAAAUUUUAUUCUGGAUGUUGAUGUCAUCUCCAUGUUUAUAGUUAGAAAAAAUGGGAAAACUGCACUACACGAUGUUGUUAGGUAAGACGUCGAUCAAAUUGUGGAAGCACUUACUACUCGUGAUGCAAGAACUGUCUUUAUCAAAGAUAAAAAAAGGUCAAACUGCAAUGCAUAUGGGUAUCAGAGGACAGAGUACAUCAGUGGUGGAAGAGAUAUUACAAGCUGAUCCAACUUUAUUGAAAGAGUGUGAUAAGAAGGGUAGUACAACUCUUCAUAUGGCUACGAGGAAAGGUGACAAUUGAGUCAAGGGUCCUGCACUUUGUGAUCUUCCAGGUUUGUCCUUCAUAUGAGAAUUAUGCUGCCUACGUUCUUGAGAAAUUUAUAGCAAAUUUUAUGCAAGCAUUUUAUCGCGACUGUCCAUUGGUUAUUGGAGAAUAUUAUUGAAAAAACAAAUACAGGGGUAUUUUACUAACAGAAUGAAAAAAAAAUGAUGGUCUAUUAUUGUGUCUUAUCAUACAAUAUUAGUAGAUGGUGAUAGGUAAAUAACUAUAACACACUUUGGAUUAGAUUCACUAUUAAGAACUUCAAUUUUGUUACUGAUAAUUGUUAAUUCUUACCCUUACUUCUUGUUACUCUAUUUUUAAAUAUUAAAAUUAUUAUAAAUAUUUAUGUGUUAGUAUUAGUGUUGUGUCGUGCUUCAUAGAAUAUUAUCCAGAAUGAUAUAGUAACGGUGAAACCAAACUCAUACCUCCAAUUAUGUUCACUUCACCCAAUCCUACUUCAGAGCCGUUUAGAAUGCCUAGACAAACAUUUCCCUUGUUAUGGCAGAAACAAAAUGUUAGCAUUCACACAUGAAAUGUUCCUGUUAUUUUCUAUACUAAAGCAGUCUACAAACAUAGAAAAUGUAGAAAAGUUAUAGUUGUUAUGCAAGUCCUUAUUCAUCUGCAUUUAGAAAAUUGAACUAAAUGUCAUCAUAUAAUGUAACCCGCCAAUGUUUUAUUAACAUUAUCCUAAUUUCUAUAUAAACCAUAGUUACUUGUAUACAGUAUUUCUAAGUAUUAGUGAAAAUGAUUUUAACUGACCAAAAAAAUUAAUGCAUGGUAAGCCUGAGAGUUGAAGUAAGUAUAGGAACUUCCAGUAUCAAAAAUGAUAUCCAGACUUCCCACACCAAGUGAGUAGCGCCAAACAUAAAUCCAACUUUGAAAAUGAGUAGCGCCAAACAGUUCGUCUAGUAACUCGUCCACCAUUGGAAUGGGAAAACUAUCUUUAAUGGUUAUGGCGUUAGGGUCCCUAUAAUUGGUACAUAAAUUCCACGAUCCAUCUUUCUUUCGAAUCAAUAAUACCAGGGAGGAGACGGGGCUGAUACUUGGCUGAAUAGUACCUUCAUCUAACAUCUCUUGCACCAUUUUUUCGAUAUGUGUCUUUUGACUAGAGGAAUAUUUGUAAGGCUUCACCUUAACGGGGUUACUGUUCUGCAAUAAGGGAAUAGAGUGAUCUUAAAAUCUAGGCAGAGGUAAGCCAGAAGGAUUCGCAAAAACAUGUUAAUAUUUAGUCAACAAGGAACAUAACUCCAAUUGUAUGUCAUCAAAGCUAGCUACUGCAGGUGUAGGUUCAACCUCUUGAAAAGAAAUGGUGUAACAUUCAGCAUUGCCGUGAGUGUGGGGAAUUCGUUUUAUAUGGUGAAACUGGGCAGGCAGAUUCGGUUUUUCACCAUAAAGGGUCACAAACUAGCAUAAAAAACAUCCAAAGUAGAUAUCUUGUAAUACUUAUGUUCUAUAAAUUAUUACACGCAUGGCGGAUGUGCAGAGCUUUCUCAAAGUUUAAAGGUUGAUUUGUUAUUAGACGAGAUAUCCAUCAAUCAUUUUUCGAGGAUACAGUGCACAGGAAAAAGUCAGCCUUCUUGCAACAUCAUCCACUGCAGAACACAACAUCAAGCAGUCCCUGGAGUGUGCCAGGUCCUGCAGUGGAUGCGCGUAACUUUUCCGACAAUGGAUGCAUAGCGUGUAUGUAUCAUAACACUGAUGGACUUUACAGUGCUAAGCAGACUGCUAUUGUGAGAGCUUCCGAUGAUUAUUACCCGCGUGAUCCUGCUUCUCACACGAUCCAUAUUUCUUCUAUUGCAUAUAAUUCCCUAUUGCAACUAGAUUGCGACAUGUUCCAUAUUUUUCCAGCAACUGAGUACUAUGAUUCUGCAGUAUCCGAGUGUUGCCAAGGUCAAUGCUGGUGAAAUUGGUACAACCAUCUAACUUCAUGAAAAGGUACUGAAAACGACGGCUUAAAACCAAACAUCACACAGGAACAAACUCAGAGACAAGACAACUAUCUAUUCUUCAUAGAAAUUCCACCAAACAUCACACAGGAACAAACUCUGAGACAAGACAAUUAUCUAUUCUUUGUAGAAAUUCCACCUUCAAUUGUUGUUACUAGCAAAGAGGAUGAGGUUCCCAAAAAGUAAGAAAGCAGAUGUAGUAGUAGAUCAAGUCAUUAUUGAAGAGAAUGUGAAUGGCUUGUUGAGUCCCGUUGUUGUUACCAAAGAGCGGGUGAAACGCAGGAAUCAAAUCAUCGUUGUACUCCUGGGUGAGAGAAUGGAGGUAUCUCGAUAUCGGCUUCUGAAGUAACUUAUGAGUUUUUUUUAGGUUUAUCUUUGAGUUAUUGGAUUGGUCGAUACUAGUAAUAUUCUUAGCAACCGAUUUAAUGCUUCCGGUGUUGGUUAGCAGGAUAUUAAUAAUUUUUGUAAAUAAUUAAUAAUUAUCUGGUUUUGAUUAAAAAACUAAAAA